CCUACGGGAGGCAGCAGUGGGGAAUAUUGCACAAUGGAGGAAACUCUGAUGCAGCGACGCCGCGUGAAGGAUGAAGUAUUUCGGUAUGUAAACUUCUAUCAGCAGGGAAGAAAAUGACGGUACCUGACUAAGAAGCCCCGGCUAACUACGUGCCAGCAGC
rnacentral:rRNA from 1 species